rnacentral:rRNA from 1 species
UGAGCAAUCUGCCCUUCUCUUCGGAAUAAGCGUGGGAAAACGCGUCUAAUGCCGAAUACGACCUCCUUUCGCAUGAUCGGAGGUGGAAAGCUCCGGCGGAGAAGGAUGAGCUCGCGGCCUAUCAGCUAGUUGGUGUGGGUAAUGGCCCACCAAGGCGACGACGGGUAGCCGGCCUGAGAGGGUGACCGGCCACACUGGGACUGAGACACGGCCCAGACUCCGUACGGGGAGGCAGCG